GACGAACGCUGGCGGCGCGCCUAACACAUGCAAGUCGAACGGAGCUUAGAGAGCUUGCUUUUUAAGCUUAGUGGCGAACGGGUGAGUAACGCGUGAGUAACCUGCCCUAGAGUGGGGGACAACAGUUGGAAACGACUGCUAAUACCGCAUAAGCCCCCGGUACCGCAUGGUACUGAGGGAAAAGGAUUUAUUCGCUUUAGGAUGGACUCGCGUCCAAUUAGCUAGUUGGUGAGGUAACGGCCCACCAAGGCGACGAUUGGUAGCCGGACUGAGAGGUUGAACGGCCACAUUGGGACUGAGACACGGCCCAGACUCCUACGGGAGGCAGCAGUGGGGGAUAUUGCACAAUGGGGGAAACCCUGAUGCAGCGACGCCGCGUGGAGGAAGAAGGUUUUCGGAUUGUAAACUCCUGUCGUUAGGGACGAUAAUGACGGUACCUAACAAGAAAGCACCGGCUAACUACGUGCCAGCAG
rnacentral:rRNA from 1 species